AGAGUUUGAUCCUGGCUCAGAUUGAACGCUGGCGGCACGCCUAACACAUGCAAGUCGAGCGGUAACAUGUUUAGUAGCAAUACUAAAUGAUGACGAGCGGCGGACGGGUGAGGAACACGUAGGAACCUGCCCUCGAGUGGGGGACAACCAAGGGAAACUUUGGCUAAUACCGCAUAAUCCCGAGAGAGCAAAGCUGCCCGCAAGGGUGGCGUUCGGGGAGGGGCCUGCGUCCGAUUAGCUAGUUGGUAGGGUAAAAGCCUACCAAGGCGAUGAUCGGUAACUGGUCUGAGAGGACGACCAGUCACACUGGGACUGAGACACGGCCCAGACUCCUACGGGAGGCAGCAGUGGGGAAUCUUGGACAAUGGGGGCAACCCUGAUCCAGCGAUGCCGCGUGAGUGAAGAAGGCCUUCGGGUCGUAAAGCUCUUUAGG
rnacentral:rRNA from 1 species